GACAUAGGUUUUAGUAUCAAUUUCUUAGUAUGGGAAGAUCUUUGGAUACAAACUAAGGUCAUAAGAAACUUCUAGCUCAAAGUUAAAUUGAAAGCUUCUUUACUGAUUGAGUUUUCGUAUAAGAUUUUACUAGGGUCAAAUUCAAACAGAACAUAACUCUAAGAAUAUGAAGAGUUUUGCGGCCCAACAUACACCAAAUGAAAGUUGUUGGAGUCUUCUUUCUAAUACCACUGGUUGUUUGUGAAUCUGAUUUCGGAGAUCAUUUUAUCAAAAGUUAGUAAACUGACUUACACAAUGAAAAGUUUUUCGGACUGAUUUACGAUGGAAAAUCCCUUUCUGCGUUUGCAAACCCAACGCAGACCAAGAAAACACAGGCAUUUGGUUUGGAGAAGUUACUAGAAGCCAUAUGCAAGCUAUUAUGCGGCCACAAACCCAAGGCCCCGAUGGAAAAUUUUCUCCGGCGUUAUUUCUGGGGCUUUUUGGUCCUUUCCUUAACCUCAAUCGUUCUCCACCCUUCUAAAAUAUUUCCCACUCUUCUAUUUACCUUAAUAUUGAUUAAAAGCAUCCUCUCAAAUCUUCUCAAGGUUUUAAAACAUUCAAGCUUCAAGAAAGAUUAAGGUAGGGCUCCAAAUUCAAAGGGCUCUUCCCCAUAGAUCAUCUCUGAGAUUUUAGGCACACAGACACAGGGAUGCUGUCAGAUGUUUCGUUAGACUUUUCACUAUCAGCCUAUGGUGAGUCCUUGCAUCUAGAGGACUUGGUUAUGUCCCUUCUACUUAUUAAACCUUUAGACAGCCAUUUAGAUUAAGUUUUCCUGGGGGCUUGUCCCAAUUGACUUAUUCGGUUCAUUUUUAGAGGCUUCAUUAGAUAUAUGUUGCUUUGCGAUUUUCAAGUUGUCUUUAAAAUGAUUUUUAGUUUUGGAUGCUGAAAUCAAGUGUUUAUAUAUUGUUUAUAGAAGUUUAUUGUUGUGA